CUCCAUGCUCGCGCAUCGAACUA
rnacentral:snRNA from 1 species